GGGGCCGACUGGUUUUUGACAGCGAGACCAACUGGAGUAUAAGCAUGCCGAGCGCCGGUCAACAGCUCGUUAAUCUCAUUUUCCACACUUUUAAAAGGCGAUAAUAAUUACGCUCUUGCCGCUUAAUCCGAAUUAUAGUAGGAUUUAGCCUCGUCUCUACUAGGUAGAGAAGCGAGAUGUUCCUGAAUAGCCUCUGUCGACGGCGAUUCAAUCAGGAGCACCAUAAAUGUCGAUAUAAGGGUAUUAUUCGCUUUGGUAAUACCACCAAAAUCUUAAGAAGCUAAGUGUGUACUCGACCGUCUUUGGUCAGGUGCGCAUCGAAAAUUAAACAAAGACUAAGCAUGUAGAAAAUAUUGCAAUUGCUUGUUUGGACGAGGGUUCGAAUCCCUCCGGCUCCACGA
rnacentral:tmRNA from 1 species